UACGGAGGGUGCAAACGUUGCUCGGAAUUAUUGGGCGUAAAGCGCACGUAGGCGGCCGAAUAAGUCGGGUGUGAAAGCCCUGGGCUCAACCCAGGAAGUGCACUCGAAACUGCUCGGCUUGAGUAUGGAAGAGGGUUGCGGAAUUCCCGGUGUAGAGGUGAAAUUCGUAGAUAUCGGGAGGAACACCAGUGGCGAAGGCGGCAACCUGGGCCAAUACUGACGCUGAGGUGCGAAAGCGUGGGGGAGCAAACAGG
rnacentral:rRNA from 1 species